rnacentral:rRNA from 1 species
CCUACGGGUGGCAGCAGUGGGGGAUAUUGCACAAUGGGGGAAACCCUGAUGCAGCGACGCCGCGUGGGUGAAGAAGCGCCUCGGCGCGUAAAGCCCUGUCAGCAGGGAAGAAAAUGACGGUACCUGAAGAAGAAGCCCCGGCUAACUACGUGCCAGCAGCCGCGGUAAUACGUAGGGGGCAAGCGUUAUCCGGAUUUACUGGGUGUAAAGGGGGCGCAGACGGGGAUGCAAGCCAGGAGUGAAAGCCCGGGGCCAAACCCCGGAACUGCUGUUGGAACUGAGUGGCUAGAGUGCAGGGGGGGCAGGCGGAAUGCGGGGUGUAGCGGUGAAAUGCGGAGAUAUCAGGAGGAACACCGGGGGCGAAGGUGGCCUACGAGACUGCAACUGACGCUGAGGCACGAAAGCGGGGGGAGCAAACAGGAUGAGAUACCCCAGUAGUC